rnacentral:rRNA from 1 species
GAUGAACGCUGGCGGCGUGCCUAAUACAUGCAAGUCGAGCGAACAGACGAGGAGCUUGCUCCUCUGACGUUAGCGGCGGACGGGUGAGUAACACGUGGAUCACCUCCCUAUAAGACUGGGAUAACUUCGGGAAACCGGAGCUAAUACCGGAUAAUAUAUUGAACCGCAUGGUUCAAUAGUGAAAGACGGUUUUGCUGUCACUUAUAGAUGGCUCCGCGCCGCAUUAGCUAGUUGGUAAGGUAACGGCUUACCAAGGCCACGAUGCGUAGCCGACGUGAGAGGUUGAAAGGCAAGAUUGGGACUGAGACACGGCCCAGACUCAGAGGGGAGGCAGCAGGGGGGAAUAUUGCACGAUGGGGGAAAACAUGAGGGAGCGACGCGGAGUGGAGGAAGAAGGUGUUCGGAUUGUAAACUCCUGUGGUUGAGGAAGAUAAUGACGGUACUCAACAAGGAAGUGACGGCUAACUACGUG